AGCAGCGUGGCUCAGUGGAAAGAACCUGGGCUUUGGAGUCAGAGGUCAUGGGUUCGAAUCCCAGCUCUGCCA
rnacentral:tRNA from 1 species